rnacentral:rRNA from 1 species
UACGUAGGGUCCGAGCGUUGUCCGGAAUUAUUGGGCGUAAAGGGCUCGUAGGCGGUCUGUCGCGUCAGGAGUGAAAACUCGGGGCUUAACCCCGGAGCCUGCUUCUGAUACGGGCAGACUAGAGGUAUGCAGGGGAGAACGGAAUUCCUGGUGUAGCGGUGAAAUGCGCAGAUAUCAGGAGGAACACCGGUGGCGAAGGCGGUUCUCUGGGCAUUACCUGACGUGAGGAGCGAAAGUGUGGGGAGCGAACAGG